rnacentral:rRNA from 1 species
UUACUUGGAUAACUGUGGUAAUUCUAGAGCUAAUACAUGCAAACAGAGCUCCGACCGGAGACGGGAGGAGUGCUUUUAUUAGAUCAAAACCAAUCGGCGGCGGGCGCGUUCGCGCGUCCGUUCGCCGCUCUACCUGGUGACUCUGAAUAACUUUCCGCUGAUCGCACGGUCUCGCACCGGCGACGUAUCUUUCAAAUGUCUGCCUUAUCAACUGUCGAUGGUAGGUUCUGCGCCUACCAUGGUCGUAACGGGUAACGGGGAAUCAGGGUUCGAUUCCGGAGAGGGAGCCUGAGAAACGGCUACCACAUCCAAGGAAGGCAGCAGGCGCGCAAAUUACCCACUCCCGGCACGGGGAGGUAGUGACGAAAAAUAACGAUACGGGACUCAUCCGAGGCCCCGUAAUCGGAAUGAGUAAACUUUAAAUCCUUUAACGAGGACCAAUUGGAGGGCAAGUCUGGUGCCACCAGCCGCGGUAAUUCCAGCUCCAAUAGCGUA